AACGAACGCUGGCGGCAUGCCUAACACAUGCAAGUCGAACGAGACCUUCGGGUCUAGUGGCGCACGGGUGCGUAACGCGUGGGAACCUGCCCUUAGGUUCGGAAUAACUCCCCGAAAGGGGUUCUAAUACCGGAUAAUGUCUUCGGACCAAAGAUUUAUCGCCUUUGGAUGGGCCCGCGUUGGAUUAGCUCGUUGGUAGGGUAAAAGCCUACCAAGGCGACGAUCCAUAGCUGGUCUGAGAGGAUGAUCAGCCACACUGGGACUGAGACACGGCCCAGACUCCUACGGGAGGAAGGAGUGGGGAAUAUUGGACGAUGGGCCAAAGCAUGAUCCAGCAAGGCCGCGUGAGUGAUGAAGGCCUUAGGGUUGUAAAGCGCUUUUACCCGGGAUGAUAAUGACAGUACCGGGAGAAAAAGCGCCGGCUAACUCCGUG
rnacentral:rRNA from 1 species